AUUGAACGCUGGCGGCAGGCCUAACACAUGCAAGUCGAACGAGUGGCGGACGGGUGAGUAAUGUCUGGGAAACUGCCUGAUGGAGGGGGAUAACUACUGGAAACGGUAGCUAAUACCGCAUACCAUCGGAUGUGCCCAGAUGGGAUUAGCUAGUGGGUGGGGUAACGGCUCACCUAGGCGACGAUCCCUAGCUGGUCUGAGAGGAUGACCAGCCACACGGGAAUUGAGACACGGUCCAGAUUCCGACGGGAGGCAGCAGGGGGGAAGAUGGGAAAAGGGGCGCAAGCCUGAGGCAGCCAUGCCGAGUGGAUGAAGAAGGCUUUCGGGUUGUAAAGUACGUUCAGCGGGGAGGCGUUAACCGCAGAAGAAGCACCGGCUAACUCCGUGCCAGCAGCCGCGGUAAUAC
rnacentral:rRNA from 1 species